rnacentral:lncRNA from 1 species
CUUGGUACCUUUUUUAAAGGUUGACUUAGCUUUUGAAUGGGUGUGGGAUGCCUAGAUCUUCUUGGCGCACGUGGGUGAUCUGUAGAUCAUGCAAAAAGGUGCGUGAUGAGUCCUUUUGUUUUGGACAGAAAGAGGUGCCUCUUAUAUGCUUAUUCGGUCUUUUGAAUUUAGAUUUAAAUUCUCUUGCCACAUGGUGAUUUUCA